rnacentral:rRNA from 1 species
AUUGAACGCUGGCGGAAUGCUUUACACAUGCAAGUCGAACGGCAGCACGGACUUCGGUCUGGUGGCGAGUGGCGAACGGGUGAGUAAUACAUCGGAACGUGCCCAGUCGUGGGGGAUAACGUAGCGAAAGCUACGCUAAUACCGCAUACGAACUAAGGAUGAAGGCGGGGGAUCGCAAGACCUCGCGCGAUUGGAGCGGCCGAUGGCAGAGUAGGUAGUUGGUAGGGUAAGGGCCUACCAAGCCGACGAUCUGUGGCUGGUCUGAGAGGAUGAGCAGCCACACUGGGACUGAGACACGGCCCAGACUCCUACGGGAGGCAGCAGUGGGGAAUUUUGGACAAUGGGCGCAAGCCUGAUCCAGCCAUUCCGCGUGCAGGAUGAAGGCCUUCGGGUUGUAAACUGCUUUUGUACAGAACGAAAAGGCUCUGGUUAAUACCCGGGGCUCAUGACGGUACUGUAAGAAUAAGCACCGGCUAACUACGUGCCAGCCGCCGCCGUAA